rnacentral:rRNA from 1 species
UACUGUGAAUUUUAUUUGAUUUAUUUAGAUUUAUUUUAAUUAAGUAAUAAAUGUUUAUAUAAUUUUGGUGAAAUAUAUUUUAUUAUUAAGUUUAUUUUUUUUAUAUAAUAAGAAUUUUAGGUUAUUAGGAUUAGAUACCCUAUUAAUAAUAGGUUUAAUUUUCUAAGGAUUAUAUUUAAAAUUAAAAUAUUUGGCGGCUAUUUAUUUUAAAGGGAUUUGCUUUUUUAUCGAUUUACCUCGUUUCAUAUUAUUUAAUUUGUUUUUGUAUACCGUCAUUUAGAUAAUUUUUAUAAAAUUAAUUAUGAUAAUAAUAUACUUUAUAUUAGAUCAAGGUGCAGAUAUUAUUAAUUUUAAGUUAAUGACAAUAAUUUAUUAUUAAACGUAAUUUAUAUAAUUAAUUUUGAUAGGUGGAUUUAAAUGUAAUGGAAGUUAUCUGAAAUUAAAUUAAUAGUGUACAAAUUGCCCGUCACUCUCUAUGAG